rnacentral:rRNA from 1 species
UACGUAGGUGGCAAGCGUUGUUCGGAAUAACUGGGCGUAAAGGAUGCGUAGGCGGUUAAACAAGUUAUAUGUUAAAUAUAUAGGCUUAACCUGUAGAAAGCAUAUAAAACUGUUUAACUAGAGUGCAGGAGAGGUAAGUGGAAUUCCUAGUGUAGCGGUGAAAUGCGUAGAGAUUAGGAAGAACACCAGUGGCGAAGGCGACUUACUGGACUGAAACUGACGCUGAGGCACGAAAGCGUGGGGAGCGAACAGG